UGCCAGCCGCCGCGGUAAUACGGAGGGGGUUAGCGUUGUUCGGAAUUACUGGGCGUAAAGCGCACGUAGGCGGAUUAGUAAGUUAGGGGUGAAAUCCCGGGGCUCAACCCCGAAACUGCGUCUGAAACUGUUUAUCUAGAAUCUCGGAGAGGGAAGGGGAAUUUCGCAUGUAGGAGUAAAAUCCGUAGAGAUGCGAAGGAACACCAGAGGCGAAGGCGCCUUCCUGGACGAGUAUUGACGCUGAGAUGCGAAGGCGUGGGGAGCAAACAGGAUUAGAUA
rnacentral:rRNA from 1 species